UGGUGCCUGCUUCCUCUUCUAGUUUGUUUAGUCACAGAAUUCGAUUCCUGUUGGCCGAUUACUCGCCUGCAAACAAGCUUAGCGCUCUAUUGAAAUGCGUGAGGCUCCUUAACUCUUGUGUAAACAGAAACCAGCUGUAACUUUAGGGCAGAGCGCAUUAAAUUAAGCCACUUCUGAACAAGCAGCGCCCAGGCCCCAGGCCCUGCUGCGAAGGCCCCCGGCAAAGGUCAGGCUCCGUCCGCGUGACGCUUGUUCCUGCGCUGGUCCGAGCCGUGCUUGGCUUCAGCCCAAAGGGGCCAGACGUCUGUUUCGCACAGAUGUCCUCCGGUGGAGCAGGUGUCACUUCUGGGGUCAUCAUCUGGAUGUCUGAAAUGGGUGUGACUUUUUGAGCUGGGAGAGAAGCCUGUCCGGUGAAGUUCCCAAAUCUCUCCGAUCAAGGCAGAUUUAUUUUUUAACCUUCAGCAAAGGGGAGAGAAUGGAGAGGGUGGACAACACAGGCAUGAAGAGGUUGGACGCAGUUCUAAGCACAGUUGCAACUAGACCAGGAGCGUUGGAGAAUUUCAGCCUCAGUGCAGCCCUGCUGGAGCUUCAUCAAUGGCUGGCAGCAACAGCAAGAUCUGAUGAUAACCUGGAUGUAGGGGGUCUGCUGCACUUCUGCAUGUUACAUGAGUGGAAACUGGAAGCCAGCGUGGAUUCAUUUUGAACUUUGUUGUGAAUCCCGACCUCGGGAUUGAUUUCUCCUGCAAACUCCAUUUUUGAGCUUCUAGAGCAAGCACUGGGGCCAUGAUGGUGAAUGAAGUGCAAGGCCGUCAGAGUUGAAGGAGCGGGAGCUUUAUCUGUUUAUGGGGUCACCACUGUUCUUUCCCUCUGCCAGCAGUUAUUCCAAAAAAAAAAAAAGAUUGAGCCUGUAUUUCCAAGUUUGUAGGAAUAAAAAGGCUAUAGUUUUGUUUUAAGCAAUGGAAAACUUCAGUUUAAAAAAGUAAUGGUUUAAAAAGUCAAAAACCUGUAGGGGCGGGUGGGUGUAGGAGGAGAGGUUAGGGUGGGUAUUGUUUUGCAAUCUCUGGCAUAGAAAUGGUCAACAGCUGUAGCUUUUCAUUCUGGUGUGCCAGCGUGAAUUGCUUUGAGGUGUAAUCAAAUUUAUUAUUGCUUCAUUGAGCCAAAUGGUGUAGUUUUUGCUUUUGCAUUAGAUUGGUCAAUUUCCAAAAGGAUACUGGUGCUUGAAGGUUUCACAUUUAUUCAAAUUCCGUUUUUAAUAUGAAAGAUGCUUUGGUGAGGAGCUGUUAUAAAUGUGUACCUGCAAUAAACUCAUGGAGAAAGGAGGAGGCUUGUGUCUGAAUGCUUGCUGAGUGGCUGCCUGUAACUAAACAUUUGAACUUAAAAGUUAAAAACAAAAUAAUAAUGACUAAUGAUAAUGGCUGACAUUGAGUAAGCACUUACUCUAUGCCAUGCAUGACCUUAUUUCAUCAAUAAAACCACCGUCAAGAAGUAGGUCCUACUACUAUUCUCAUUUGGCAGAUAUGGAAAUAAGGCAUCGACAGGUCAAGCAGCUUGACCAGGGUAAACUGUGGUCAGGAUUCCAGACUAUUGUAAGGCUUCUGAAUGAGGCCUGGGAAAAUCCCUGGACCAGGACCCAGUCUUCUCACCGAGAUCUGCCGCUGGCUCAGCAGACAAGCAACCUUGGACAUGGCACUUCACCUUAGUGUCCUUCAGUUUCCUCGACACCUUCACAUUGGAUGGAAGGGAGUGGAGAUGUAGGACUAGACGUGUUUUGCACAGCCUCGGGUUUUUCUAAUUCUGAGUGUUCUUACUUUCAUGGUUCAAAUCUGUGAAAGAUUGCUCUUCAUAAGAUGUCCAUAGGGAAGAUGAGGGUGCUGGGAGUAAACCAGGGGUAUGGGAUCAGAGGGCAGUCACCGUGGCGUUACGUCACAGGAAGGAAACUGCCAGGUUAAAUGGCUUGUCCAAAUCUUACAAAGUUACUGUAAGUUUGAUUCUUGAUUCCUGAAUCCCAUUCAAGAUAGUGAAUAUAGCUGGCAUAUGGGAUGGUUCUAGUUUGGUGGUCCUCCAUGACGGGGGAUUGUCUUCCAAGGGACAUUUGACAGCAUCUGCAGAUGUUAUUGGUUGUCACGUUCUGGGAGGGGCAGGGUAGGGUGCGACCUGCACGUGUGGGCAGAGGCCAGGGAUCCUGCGGAACAUCCUGCAGCGCACCUGUGACAGCCCUCAUGACAAAGGGUUUUCACCCCACACGUCCUAAGUGCCCACCUGGGAAACCCCCUUCUGGUUGAGCCUUUGCUUUUCACGUGCACUGCAGCCUUACACGACUGGAACAAAGAGUGUUCAAACUUAGUUUUUACACUCAUCUCUUUAUGAAGAUUCAGUCUGAGGAGGAAUUUGGGGAAGGGGGUCAGUGACAAAGUUAAAUUGAACUCUGUUCUUAGGGUUCCGGAAAAAUCCUCAAUUAAUACUUUGUUUUUCCCUUUGCCCCAGAUCCAGUGAUUAAUGUCAAUCACUUCACUCCUUCCUUCUUAGAGUCUCAGAAUUUUUCAUUAGGUCCGACUGAUGUCGCUAAAACAUUUCCAGAAUUUAAGACCUUUUUUAAAAAAGAGGUUCUCAGUAUUUAUAAAUUUCUAGCAGAGUUGGGCUUUGAGAUAGUUUGUUAAUAAAAUCUUUUCAGACCUAAAGAUGACUUCAGUUUAAAGCUAUAGGUGAAGCAGAAUGAAGUUAGUCUAUGCUUUAUCAAAUCUGUAUCUUAAGUUUAUGUAAAAUGAAAAACCUCUGUGCCAUGUUUUAAACUUCGUGGAGAGAGAAGAGCUAUAGUAAAUGAAUACUUGCUGGUAUAUAGACACAUUGUCAGCAGCUUUGGAAAAACAACACAUUUUAAAGGAGGUCUAAAAAUGAACUCCAUGGACUAGGCUGACAUUUUCUUCUAAGGAAACAUUUUGGUCAAUAUUUGAUGUCCCCCUGUAGAUUUGGGGAAGAAAGAUAAAUGUGUUUAGGUUUGCAGUUGUUCCUGGCUGAGGGAAGCUGAGUUUACCUCAUUUCCAUAAGAAAUCGGUUACAACGGAAGAAAACCUUUUGUGUUGUGCCAGAUCAGGUCAUUUAAGGGCACAGAAGCUCUACAAAUGCUCGGGUAGAUUAGGGCAUUUCUUUCUGCCUCUUUCAGGUUUCAUGGGUUUUAGUGUCCCCCCUGACCCUCGGCGGAUACAUUCUAAGACCCCCCAGUGGAUGCCUGAAACCUCGGGUAAUAUCAAACUCAAAAUACAGUGUUUUUUCCCCCUGUAUAUACACACCUUUUUACUGAAAGGGAGCACUUUAUGGCUUUUUCCCCCCAUAUCUAAAUUGCCAGCAUCGCUACUCUUUGGGGGCAUUAUUAAAUAAAAUAAAUGUUGCUCAAAUACAAGCACAGCGAUACCUUGACAUUUGAUCAGUAUGCCAGACAGAAGGGUGAUUCCCGUCCAGGGAGGGACAGAGCAGGACCGAGUGUGAUAUCAUUAUGCUACUUAGAACAGGGCAUAAUUGAAAACUUACUAAUGUUUUUCCCCCCUGGAUUCUCCAUUUAAUGUUUUUGGACUGUGCUUGACUGUGGGUACCUGAAACCUUGGAAAGUGGGACUACGGAUAAGGGUGGACUGCUGUGUUUUGGACAGUAUGAAUUGUGGAAUUUCUAGUUCCUGCAUUGCUCAGUCGGACAGAGGCCCUAGAUUUCGUUAUCUCUUCACACCCACACACCAUGGAUCCACGAUCAGUGAAUUCGCUCAAAUUCUGGGGAACUGACCUCCAUUUUACUGCUUUCCACCUACAGAAGCAACUGGUUCUACAGUUGACUGCCUCUCGUUCAGGUACUUACUUUUCUUCCCUCUAAAGCUACCCUCAGGCUUUAUAGGAAGCUGAUUUAACUGUGUCUGCAUCUCUUCACCCUUCACGCUUUUGACAUUUGAAUCCCACUCCCUCUCAGUCUGUGUCUUUCUGUUCUGACAAGGCAGACCUCAGAUGUGGGAAGCCAACACCCAGUGCUCAAUUAUCUUAUAUAUUUAUAUCAUUUUAUAUUAUUUUAAUAUUAUGUUACUACUUUAUAUUAUUAUAUAUAUCUGUUGUCGCUCAUGAUAUUGGAUAUAUAUAUAUCUCAUCCAUAAUAUCUUUGACUGAUAGAUAAAUUGUCCAAAUUAAUUUAUGGGUUUACCCAAGUCUUGAACAAUGCUUUGAACCAAAACUCUUCUUGAAGAUUCCGUGUGUUUUGUUAGCCUUUUUGGGAGUAAUAAUGCUAUCCAUUUUUUCAUUGAGUGAAUACAGAUUCUGUAUUCUGUAUUCGGCUUUGGAGAUAAAAAAUGGAUAAUAAAUAUUCUGGGUCCUUAAAGGCGCUCACAGGCAAGGUGAGACAUGGCAGCAAAAGAAGAAGAAGAAGGAAAAAGAAAUGCUCUUUUGUGCUUUCUUAAUGGAAAUAUUUAUUUAUUCACCAUGGAUUCACUGAAAACUAUUUAUUUUGUGCCUACAUUUGCCUUCUAAAAGUAAGAAAAGAUAUGUUUUGAGGGAGUUUAUGGCCUAGGACACAUUAAAAAUGAAUGCUAUAAAAGUAUUCUAGGUGCCGCUAGGAAUCAGUAGCAUUGGUUCAGCCUGAGGAGGUGUAGCAGGGGAAGAGGAAGGUGUUUAGGGAACUCUUCGUAGAGACGAGACCUUUAAUAUACUUAACAUUUACAUACCAUGUGUUAGGUGCCUGGUGCUGUUCUGAGCACUUUACAAAGAUUAACUCAUUUAAUCUGCAUAAAAAUACCAUGAGACACACACAGUGAUUCUAAUUUGACAGACCAGAAGACAGAGGUACAGAUGGGUUCAGUAACGUGCCUAAGGUGACAACGAAGCUAGUAAGGGCAGAGCCAGGGUUUGGACCCCUGCAACUUAGCUCCAGCAUAAGAGGUGAUUCUUCAGUGAAUCUUGGAAAAAACUCAGAGCUGCGAAAAACAAGCGGUUGCCAUUUAGUGGGGAAUUCCUGAACCCAGAGAGAGAUGUGGCUGAAGAGGUGGGCAGAAACCAGAUCACAAGGGUCUGAGCUCAUGGGCAAAGCUUGUACUUUAUAUAGAAAGUAUAGAAAAAUGGAAACACGAACAGGAGGAAAAAUCACGUAGGUUCUUACUUCUUAAAGAACUAGCUUCAUUAGCUUUUCCGUACCUUUCUUUUAAGCUCUUUUGAGUGCAUUUGCAUUUUUUCCACCUGGUUUUCCUCAGACCAUACUGCAGUGCUGUGCUGCUGUCUCUUGCCUCGCUUCACCCUCACGGCAUUCCUGUGACUUUCACGGGCCCAUUUCAUGGAGGUGGACACGAGGAAACUGCCUGGUUCUCAUGGAGCCCACAGGGUUAGCCCAGGUGUUCUAAAUGGAAGCUCUGGUCUCCCGUUCCUCACCUGCCUCCCCAGCAAAGGUGGAUAAAAAAGAGAGACAUGGAAAUGUAUUCAAAUGUCACAUGUUUUGUGUCAUCUUGUUUUUCCAAAUGAGUGAUGGCAGUGGGACUAGCAGGCUGACUCUGAGGAAUGUGCAGGUAGGACACUCGGCUUCCCUCCGUGGCGCCCCGUUUGUGGGGUUUCUGCUGCUCAUAUUUACUUCGUACCACGUGCUCUCCCAGGGCGCAGCUUCCGUGCCAGGACCUACGAACCGCGCCUGCGUUACUGACAGUGGCUCUGCCAGGACAGUGGCUAUCAGAGCAGAGACGGUUACUGCUCCAACAGUAUCUAAACGCAGGGUUUGCAUGUUUGCCCGGCACAAACAAGCCUCGCUGACAGGAAAGAAAAAGAAUUCUUGGUCUAAGCUUGUUUCAGUCUCAGGGACAAAAGAAAGGGCUUUGUAUGCUUUGUGCACCGUCUUAAUACUCAACAGAGGUAGCCCUCCCUCCCCGCCUCCCCCCGCCCCACACCAGGGCAUAUGAGACCUCUGCUGUGGAGUUGGUACUUCAGAACCUUCACACUGAAGGAAGUAAAUUACACUCCAAGUCUUCUGUUCAAAUGGCAAUGACGAACUUUGACUAGAGCCAUGAAUGGGCCCUGGGCAUUCCCCUAAGUUCUGGAGAGGUGUGGAUAGAUAGAUGGACAGGACGUGCUCCUGCCCUCAAGUGGCUCUCACUGUAGUGGGGACAGCUGACUCGUGUCCACAGACGUGAUCUCCACAGGGAGCCCAAAGGAGGGGCAGUCAGGUAGCUGGAUUUUGUUGUUGUUGUUUGGAGGGUAGAUAAUUCACAUACCAUACAUUCCAUCCUUUAAAGUGUAAAAAAAAGUGUAAAACACUUGGUGUUUUUUCGUAUAUUCACUAGGUUGUGAAACCAUCACCACGGCCCAAUUCCAGAACAUUUUCAUCACCACAGAAAGAAACCCAUGACUGUUGAGCACUUCCCAUUCCCCUUUCCCCUCCCCGCUGCCGGCCACUAGUCUACUUUCUAGAUUAGUACUUCAGUCUCCAUGUAUUUGCUUGUUCUGGACAUCCAUGUAAACAGUGAUCCACCAUGUGAUCAUUCAUGUAUGGCUUGUUUUAUGUAGCGUGUGUUUUCAAGGUUCAUGUUGUAGCAUGUGUGUCAGCACUUUAUUCCUUUUUAUGGCUGAAUAAUAUUCCAUUGUAUAGAUGUGCCACAUUUUGUUUAUACAUUCAGUUGACGGGCAUGUGGUUUCACCUGGAUUUUGAAUAAAUAGAAGGUUUUGCCAGUCACGGAAGGGAGGGUGCAUUGUAGGGCAGGCGAAACCCAUCGGUUUAAUGCCUGCAUGUGGCGUGUAGCACAGUCCUUACUGAGAGCCGGGCACAUUGCGAGCCCUUUACAAACACUACCGUUCCGAGUUCUCAUUACAACCCUGUGAGGUGGUGUAUGAGGCCCAAAGAGGCAAAGCGGUUUCCCCAGGUCACCAGCCAGUAAGUGGAGAGCUUGGGGGCCAGACCCAAACAGUCGGGUUCUGGGACUUCCCUCUCGUCUGCCCGGCUCUGCCGCAGAGGCAGGGUCAUGGGGCACGGCAACCCGGGCUGGGCUGUGGGACUGCCUACAUGGUGUAAAAGGGCAAGGUAGCAGGUGGAGGAGAAAGUGAGCUGUGAGGCCAGAGACCGGUAUCCUCUGUUCAGCAGUUAUCUUUGUAAAAGACACAUCUGACCAUGUCAUUUCCUACUGAAAAACUGCCCCUAGUUCUCCAUCUUUCCACUUAAUUUCUCAAAACCAACCACUUUCUGCUACUUUUACAAUUUUCCCCAUACCUGUAUUUCACCUACAUCGUUGUUUAAGGAAUACUUUUCUUUAUAUCGGCUCACUUUGGUUUUGCUUAAGUACACUUAUUUAAAGUGGAACUUUAUCUCACUAACUCACAUGGAAAGUAUUUUUCUAAUGUGCAUUUAAAUAAAACACACCACUAAAGUGAACUGCCUUUACUCACCACCACCUGGAAGCAGCUUGCACGCCAGCGAGGUGUGCCUCCUGCCUAGCACUAGGGAAUCGGGGCUUGCCGGGUGAGGUUCACACACAAAGUCGAGGUCCCACACUUGGUAUCUCAUGUGACUGUCACGUCCAGUGUGCUUCCCUCCCGCCUGGACUCACGCGUUUUCAUUGUAGUAUAUUGUUCCUUGGGUGGUUCUACCUCCUCUUGUCUCUGUGCUUAGAACCAGCUCAAAUCGCGACUCCUGAAGUCUUCUCAUGUCCUGUGGGUUCCUCCAGGACGUGGCUCUGAGAUGUCUUCUCAGAUGUUGCCUUGUUUACCCUGCACCCGUCUCCAGCUGUGAGGCACCUCAAGACAGGGAACCCUAUUUGUUGAAUGAACGAACGAUUGGUUAGAAGCAAAAGGUAAAGACCUUUCAUAUGGUCUUGAAUGCAGCAUUCCCAAAUCAUAGAAUGAUUUUAAGCAAACAACAUUAUCCAUGCUGUCUUUAACACAGUUAAGUGUGGUCAGUUGUGUGGAAGUCAAAAAAGGAGUGAGAUCCUGGAGGCAGGGAGACAGAUGUGAAAUAAGUGCUCAUUAAAUUGUCUGGAGCCAAAAAAAAAAAGGUUCCACUAAAAGGGAAGAUAUACACAACUUUCGAGGCAGCGACUCAAAUCCCAAGUAUGUACCCAACUGAAAUAUGUACAUAUGUUCACCAAAAGGCAAGUUUAAUAAUGCUUUUUGCAGCAUCACUGGAAAUACUACCAAACGGGAAGAGGCAUUUAUCAGUAGUAGAAUGAACUGAAACAAACCAACCUGUGGUAUAUCCCUCCAGUGGGAUACUACUGUCUAUAUGAUGGGAACAAACAAAUAUUACUGCAAGUAAAAAUGUGCUCAGAGUUCUGAAACAGAGUCUUCAGUGGAAGAAGCCAGACUCCAUGGAGCAUCUGUUGUAAGAUCCCCACUUGCAUGGCGUUCAGAACCAGACAAGUGCGUCUGCAGUGUGAGGAGUCAGGAGAGCUGUCCGCCUUGGGCAGGUGGUGAGGAGGGGACCAUGAGGGGGACUUCUGGGGUACCGGUCGGAUACGUAUUCAGAUUGUGAAAAUUGAGUGAGAGAUACUAUCUUAACUUGUGUGUUUCAGUACAGUGCUAUACUUCACUGUAAAGUUUACAUUUAAAAAAUUAGGAAGAAAUAAAACGGAUUAGCAACAUUUUUUUUCAAAUUAAGAAGCCUUUUCCAGAGCGGAAUAAAUAAUAGACUUAGUGAAAAAUGCACAGAGAAACUAAUGAUAAAUCUCAGAUCCUGAGAUGCUUUUCUCAGUUUUCAUUUGGCCUAAUUGUCUUGGGAUAUUUAUCUGCCAUGUUUUAGUUGUGAACGUAAUAGCUACUAACAAUUGCAUUUUGUUUUACAACAUUUAAACUACAUAGGGUCAUUACUCUGUUUCAUCUUUAGAACAUCUCUGUAAGGGUUCAUUAAUACAUCCAUUUUCCAGACGAGGAAACUGAGGCCCAAAGAGAUUUCUUAAAUUGCCCUAAGUCACAGGGCAAGUGACUGAACUGAAACCAUUUUCUCUAAGUCCUGUCCCAUUGCUGGGCCACCCAGGAGGUUGGCAGUUGUACUCGGACUAUAAGUCUCCACAGACAGAGAGGAGCAGGAGGCUAGCGAUAAAUAUGGAAAGAGUGGUGAACCAUCCACAUGAUAAAUCCAUAAUGGAAGUUUUGUAACGAAUUCUGUCAAGCCAGUAAACAAAGCUUUUUGGCAUGUAAAUUAAAUUUGUUGUUUUUCUGGCUGCUUUUCUGCUUAAAUAAUUAGGGGUAUUCAGUACAAAUUAAGUGACCCCUAGUUAACCCACAGAGAGUGCUGUGAUCUUGGUUGAGUUUAAUUGAAAACCAUUUUGGCCGCUUUCAGUUAGCGCUCCGCCGACACAGACUUUCCAGGAAUGGUCAUGGACUCAUCUACAUGUUUUCAGUUGGACCGGGCCACGGGGACUUUCUGGUUCGACAUUCCAUCUAGUGCAGAAAUGUCUCUGCAGCAUUGUGAUAAUCGUGAUCUGAUAAACAUGUGCACUGUUUCCCUUGUAAACUAUCCUCGUUUUACAGAUGAGCACGUAGCCUUAGAGAGGUUAAGCAGUCUGCCCUAGAACACUCAGGUAGUGACAGCAAAGCAGAUCCUGACGCAGGCCUUUCUGAGCCCACGGGAGGGGGUUGCACGGCUGUGCUACUUCGCUGCUUCCACCUUGGCCUUAGAUUCCCGCAGUGACGGACGGGCGCAUUAUUUCGCUGAGACACUUCGGGCCGGGAGUGGAAAGCCCUACGGGGAGGCUGUUCCGUACACUGAGCAGGAACCUUCUGUCUCACGACUUUCAUCUGCGAGGCCUCGUUUUGUUCGGAAGAGUAAUACCACUUCAGAGCCCUCCUUUGUGGCAAAAGGCACCCCUCUAGAAAUGUACUUAAUUUAUUUUCAAAGAAAUAACAUUUUUAAAGGUUUAUUUAUUUACAUAUAGACAGAGGGGAAGAGAGAGAGAAAGAGAGGGAGAGAAACAUCCAUGUGUAGUUGCCUUCUACACAUCCCUACUGGGGAUCUAGCCUGCAACCCAGACAUGUGCCCUGACUGGGAAUUGAACCAGUGACCCUGUGGUUGGAAGGCCAGCACUUGAUCCACUGAGCCACACCAGCCAGGGCCCCCUCUAGAAGUUUAAAGUGAGGGAUUACGUUGGUAGGUUCUAAAAUGAUGCAUAUGUGCCAGUGAUUCUAAGUGUACAGUAAAUUACCCCAUAUCUUAGUAAGUCAAACACCCACCAGUGAGUACCUAUCAUGAUUUGGGCAUGUCUCAUGA